rnacentral:rRNA from 1 species
GACGAACGCUGGCGGCGUGCUUAACACAUGCAAGUCGAACGGAAAGGCCUCUUUCGGGGGGUCCUCGAGUGGCGAACGGGUGAGUAACACGUGAGUAACCUGCCCUUGACUUUGGGAUAACUUCAGUAAACUGGGGCUAAUACCUGAUAGGAGCUCCUUCUGCAUGGUGGGGGUUGGAAAGUUUCGGCGGUUGGGGGUGGCCUCGCGGCUUAUCCGCUUGUUGGUGGGGUAAUGGCUUACCAAGGCUUUGACGGGAAGCCGGACUGUGAGUGUGACAGGCCGCAUUGAGACUUAGGGACGGCCCAGGUUGGGACGGGAGGGAAAAGUGGGGAAGACUGAACAAUGGAUGGAGGGCUGGUGCAGAAGGGCCGUGGGCGGGAAGACGCUCUUCGGGUUGAAAAACGAAUUCGCUCAUGACGAAGCAUUGUGUGACGGUAGUGAGUAAAGAAGCACCGGCUAACUACGUG